GUGGGUAUAGCUCAGUUGGUUAGAGCGCUAGAUUGUGGCUCUAGAGGCCGUCGGUUCGAAUCCGACUAUCCACCCCA
rnacentral:tRNA from 3 species